AUCGAACGCUGGCGGCAGGCCUAACACAUGCAAGUCGAGCGAGCGGCGGACGGGUGAGUAUUGUCUGGGAAACUGCCUGAUGGCGGGGGAUAACUACUGGAAACGGUAGCUAAUACCGCAUCCCAUCAGAUGUGCCCCGAUGGGAUUAGCUAGUGGGUGGGGUAACGGCUCACCUAGGCGACGAUCCCUAGCUGGUCUGAGAGGAUGACCAGCAACACGGGAACUGAGACACGGUCCAGACUCCUACGGGAGGCAGAAGGGGGGAAUAUUGCACAAUGAGGGCAAGCCUGAUGCAGCCAUGCCGGGUGGGUGAGAAAGGCCUUCGGGUUGUAAAGCACUUUCAGCGGGGAGGCGUUACCCGCAGAGGAAGCACCGGCUAACUCCGUGCCAGCAGCCGCGGUAAUAC
rnacentral:rRNA from 1 species